GUGUCAGCAGCCGCGGUAAUACAGAGGGUGCGAGCGUUGUCCGGAAUCACUGGGCGUAAAGGGCGCGUAGGCGGUCUGGUAAGCGUGUGGUGAAAGCCCGGGGCUCAACCCCGGGUCGGCCAUGCGAACUGCUGGACUGGAGCAGAUCAGAGGCAGGCGGAAUUCCGGGUGUAGCGGUGGAAUGCGUAGAGAUCCGGAAGAACACCGGUGGCGAAGGCGGCCUGCUGGGAUCUUGCUGACGCUGAGGCGCGACAGCGUGGGGAGCAAACAGGAUUAGAUACCCUGGUAGUCCACGCCGUAAACGAUGGGCACUAGAUGCUUGGGGGAGCGACCCCCUGAGUGUCGGCGCUAACGCAUUAAGUGCCCCGCCUGGGGAGUACGGCCGCAAGGCUGAA
rnacentral:rRNA from 1 species